AAAUUGAAGAGUUUGAUCAUGGCUCAGAUUGAACGCUGGCGGCAGGCCUAACACAUGCAAGUCGAACGGUAACAGGAAGCAGCUUGCUGCUUCGCUGACGAGUGGCGGACGGGUGAGUAAUGUCUGGGAAACUGCCUGAUGGAGGGGGAUAACUACUGGAAACGGUAGCUAAUACCGCAUAAUGUCGCAAGACCAAAGAGGGGGACCUUCGGGCCUCUUGCCAUCGGAUGUGCCCAGAUGGGAUUAGCUUGUUGGUGGGGUAACGGCUC
rnacentral:rRNA from 2 species